AAAUAGGGGAAAAUUGGAAAUAAAGU
rnacentral:piRNA from 1 species